UACGAAGGACCCGAGCGUUAUCCGGAUUUAUUGGGUUUAAAGGGUGCGUAGGCGGAUUAGUAAGUCAGUGGUGAAAGCCCAUCGCUUAACGGUGGAACUGCCAUUGAUACUGCUAGUCUUGAGUAUGGUUGAGGUGGGCGGAAUGUGUCAUGUAGCGGUGAAAUGCUUAGAUAUGACCCAGAACACCAAUUGCGAAGGCAGCUCGCUAAGCCAUAACUGACGCUGAUGCACGAAAGCGUGGGGAGCAAACAGG
rnacentral:rRNA from 1 species